UAUAUGAGGACGAGGCUGUUGAUGAUGAAGAUGAUGGAGACGCCUACAUCGCUGAUGAUAUUGAUGAAGACAAAGAAUCCAUGGAUAGAAUUACGGAGAAGAAUUUUAUUGUGUUGGAGGCUGAAGACAUCCGAAAACUUCUACAGGAUGAAAUCGCGAAAGUUUCAUCCAUUCUCUUCGUUUCAAGAGAAGCAGCAACGAUUUUAUUGUGCAACUACAAUUGGGAUGUUGAUAAAAUCAGUGAAGAAUGGUUUGCCAAUGAAGAAAAGGUCCGAAAAGCUGCUGGAUUGUUGGAGAACUAUUCGGCUCGUGAUCUUUCAAAAAAAGAGUUCUUUUGUGGGAUUUGCUUGGAGAAUCAUGAUUGUUGUUAUGAUGCUGUUGGGAUUGCAUGUGGUCAUCUCUUUUGUAAGACCUGUUGGAAAACUUAUAUUAGCACAUCCAUCAAUGAUGGCCGCGGCUGCUUGAUGUUGAGAUGCCCUGAACCCAAGUGCAGAGCCACAGUUGGUGAAGAGCUGAUUUAUUCUUUGGCAUCUGAUGAAGACAAGGAGAAAUACAACAAUUAUCUUGUUAGAUCUUAUAUUGAAGAUAGGAAGAAGACUAAGUGGUGUCCUGCCCCUGGAUGUGAUUGCGCUGUUUAUUAUAUUGUUGGAAGUAGUAAUGGAAGAAACUUUGAUGUUACAUGCAAUUGUUCGUAUGGAUUUUGCUGGAAUUGUUUGGAGGUGGCUCAUAGUCCGGUGGAUUGUGGCACCACAGGGAAGUGGAUUGUAAAAAACAGUUCAGAAGCAGAGAAUACGAAUUGGAUCUUGACUUAUACGAAGCCAUGUCCAAAGUGCAAGAAACCAAUCGAGAAGAAUCAGGGUUGUAUGCACAUGACCUGUAAGUCCCCGUGCAACCAUCACUUCUGUUGGCUUUGUUUAGGUCCAUGGUCAGCCCAUGGCGAGAGAACAGGCGGGUAUUAUGCCUGCAAUGCCUAUGAGCGAGCAAAGCAAAGUGGAGAAUACGAUGAAGAUAAAAACAAGAGGGAGAUGGCCAAGAAUUCAUUGCGGAAAUAUGCACAUUAUUACGAGAGGUGGGCUGGUAAUGAAAAGUCGAGGAAAAAAGCAUUGAAGGAUUUGAAACUGAUGGAAACCAUCCAUCUUGAGAAGCUGAGUGAAAUCCAGGGCGAACCUGAGACUGAAUUGCAGUUCAUCAUC
rnacentral:lncRNA from 1 species